GACGAACGCUGGCGGCGUGCUUAACACAUGCAAGUCGAACGGAAAGGCCCUGCUUUUGUGGGGUGCUCGAGUGGCGAACGGGUGAGUAACACGUGAGUAACCUGCCCUUGACUUUGGGAUAACUUCAGGAAACUGGGGCUAAUACCGGAUAGGAGCUCCUGCUGCAUGGUGGGGGUUGGAAAGUUUCGGCGGUUGGGGAUGGACUCGCGGCUUAUCAGCUUGUUGGUGGGGUAGUGGCUUACCAAGGCUUUGACGGGUAGCCGGCCUGAGAGGGUGACCGGCCACAUUGGGACUGAGAUACGGCCCAGACUCCUACGGGAGGCAGCAGUGGGGAAUAUUGCACAAUGGGCGGAAGCCUGAUGCAGCAACGCCGCGUACGGGAUGACGGCCUUCGGGUUGUAAACCGCUUUCGCCUGUGACGAGGCGUGAGUGACGGUAAUGGGUAAAGAAGCACCGGCUAACUACGUG
rnacentral:rRNA from 1 species